rnacentral:rRNA from 1 species
CGUAGGUGGCAAGCGUUGUCCGGAGUUAUUGGGCGUAAAGCGCGCGCAGGUGGGAUAUUAAGUCUGGUGUUAAAGUUCGGGGCUCAACCCCGUGAAGCAUUUGGAAACUGAUAUUCUUGAGUGCAGGAGAGGAAAGUGGAAUUCCUAGUGUAGCGGUGAAAUGCGUAGAUAUUAGGAGGAACACCAGAGGCGAAGGCGACUUUCUGGACUGUGUCUGACACUGAGGCGCGAAAGCUAGGGUAGUGAACGGGAUUAGAUACCCCGGUAAUCCUGGCCGUAAACGAUGGGUACUAGGUGUAGGGGGUAUCGACCCCUCCUGUGCCGGAGUUAACGCAAUAAGUACCCCGCCUGGGGAGUACGGCCGCAAGGUUG